rnacentral:rRNA from 1 species
AUCGAACGCUGGCGGCAGGCCUAACACAUGCAAGUCGAACGGUAACAGGAAACAGCUUGCUGUUUCGCUGACGAGUGGCGGACGGGUGAGUAAUGUCUGGGAAACUGCCUGAUGGAGGGGGAUAACUACUGGAAACGGUAGCUAAUACCGCAUAACGUCGCAAGACCAAAGAGGGGGACCUUCGGGCCUCUUGCCAUCGGAUGUGCCCAGAUGGGAUUAGCUAGUAGGUGGGGUAACGGCUCACCUAGGCGACGAUCCCUAGCUGGUCUGAGAGGAUGACCAGCCACACUGGAACUGAGACACGGUCCAGACUCCUACGGGAGGCAGCAGUGGGGAAUAUUGCACAAUGGGCGCAAGCCUGAUGCAGCCAUGCCGCGUGUAUGAAGAAGGCCUUCGGGUUGUAAAGUACUUUCAGCGGGGAGGAAGGGAGUAAAGUUAAUACCUUUACUCAUUGACGUUACCGCAGAAGAAGCACCGGCUAACUCCGUG